rnacentral:lncRNA from 1 species
GAAAAUGCAAAGUUCUUGCAAGUCACUACCACUUUGUGCAGCCACUUUGAGGGCACUAGUUGCGAAGAAGAUCUCCAAGGAUGCACGCAGUAACACCAGUUAGUCAAGGUAGAUAGAGUUGUUUCCUGUACAUGAAAAAGCAACUUUCAACAGUUCCUUCAAAGGGAUGGCAAAGGUGAGAAAGAUUGAAGGAACAGCGGAGGAAGAUAUUUAUUUUACAGCAUCAGGUAGGUUGGUGUUGGUAUUCGAAUUUUUAGCCAGAUCAUGCAAACAAAACUAUAACAAGUAGUAACCAAAUUUGCCUGACAAAACUUUCUCUGUUUGAAUCUUCUACACUUCACUUUGUGUUCAAAUUCUUUUAGCAGGCCAUAUGCUCCUUAUUUCUUGAUUGGAAACAACAAUUAUCUGCUUGAACACUGUGGACAGACACCGAUUCAGAAACAGUGCGUGCGAGAGUAACAUUUCUUUUUUUGAGAGAACAACAUUUCACUGUGGGGAAAAGCUGGCCGGCUAUUUGCACCCUACAAUUACUUCAAAACAAGUGUUGGGGAAAUAUUUUGAGAGUUCCGUGUGAGGACUUUGUUGACGCAGGGCCACUGUUCGACAGUGUCACGUUGCUUUCCCAGCUUCAGGAAUGUACGAAGAAACACAGACAGCCAUGCGUGGUGGGAUUUGGACAUGGAAAAGGACGUUGAGGACGAUUGAUUGUCGGGCAUUUGAUGAAAGGAAACAGACCAAACCAGGUUACUGUGUUUUAGUUAUGGAACCAGCGACGCCUUCCUCUAGGAUGGAAAUUUUUGACUAGUUGGUGCCAAGCUAAGUGCUAAGUACAGGGCUAGCCGGUGGCUACUGGACAUCCACAAAAGCAAUUAUAUUAUGAAACUACACCCAAGUGACUUUAUGAACACAAAAGGCAAAGAUGCAGAACAAAAAGCUGAUAUCCACAUGGUUUAGUGGCAUAUAUCAGCACUAGUCAGCAUUCUGUCAUGUGCACUGAAACAUAAGCUAAGCAGCAGCGCAUCCAAUGUGGAGCAUUAUUAGUACCCAAACCCCAGGGUGUAUAAAUCUAUGGUAGCAGCACUGAGAGUUACCUUUUCAGGAGCAUUCUCCCCGUAGAAACCAUCAAGGCUGGCACAUAACUGAGUGUUCUGAAUUCUGGUGCUGAAGAACAACAAGAAAAAGGGCGAUUCCAGUCCAGAUCAUCAAGCUCCCCCAAUGCUGGGCAAUUUAUACUCUGGAG